CCUCCAGAGUGACUGCUACAGCCAUUCGAGCAGGUAGAAGCAGAUAAGAAUGUCUCAAGGUGGGAAGGAAAGCAUUUGUCUAGGGAAACUUUGAAAACAUGACGGUGUGUGCCUUGGGGCCAGCACCCAGGGGCCUGCUGGUGUCCCUGGGCAGAAAUAGCCCAUUUCAUCAUCAGCUCUGGAGAGUCUAGCCUGCAUUCCUCGAGUAAGGAGCCACUCUCUGCUGAGCUUUUGGAGCAAAGAUCUGCCCAGCUGCAGGCUGGGGACAGGCCAGGCUGGGGCUCAGGGGACAGUGCAGACGGUCAUGAAUUAUCAGGAGCAGCAGACCCUGCUUGCUAGCCUCACACUGGGCUGCAGAACACAUCAGUGAACAGACCCACCAAUGAAUACAGCAGCCCAGAUGAUCCAAGCACUUACCAAACCUGGCCUCUGAGCGCCUGAGAGAUUUUGGAGUCCUUCUCAACCUGAUUCAUAAAACCGUCUGUGCUAAUGAAUAUUUAUGUGAGCCUGCUGGGGAUGCUCACAUUGACAUCUGAGCUUGAUCUCUCACUGCCAGCCCACUCUGCAUGACUAUUGGGUGCUCAGCCUAGAGAACUGAGAAGCAGAGUUCUGUCCACCUCAGGAGCUGUGGCUUCUCUCCUCCACCGGAGAAGCAGAGAAAAUAAAGAGCCAGUGGGAUCCACCAGCAAAUGCUCUGCUGUGCAACUCCUGCGCCCUCAACACAAACCAACCUGAGCUGGCUGUGGACAGAGCAUGUGAGCAACAGGUUCCUGAGACAUCACUCACCCUUCCUGGCUUCUGAUGGGCAGCCACCAUUCCCCACUGCUCAGAGAAAGAAUGCCUCUCCAGCAUCUGGUAGUUUUCUUCAAGGUCACUUCAUGGGCCAAGUUGAUGAAAAAAGAUCCAGCCAUCACACCAGCAUUCCAGGCUGGAAGCACAAAGGAGGCUGCUCUUCCCAGUUGCACAGACUUCCCAGCAUUUCCAUAGAACAAUUCACUUCCAUUCCACUGGCCAGGAGCAGUCAUACCAUUACUUUUAACUGCGAGGCAGAAAAGUCAAUAAAGAUUUUAGCUGGUGCCUUUUGUCCUGACUGAAGAAACCAGGGAUCUGUAAUGGAGGAGAAAAUGAGAAUAAAGGGUGAUGUUGACAUCCACUGUGUCUACUGCAAGAUCCCCUAUGUGCUGUGGGUUGCAGAGCCAUGGCCUGGGUCCUGGUCACCAUGACAGUUGCUCCUAGAGCACCUGCCUGUUAGGAGCAUGGCCAGCCACCUGGACCUCAGUUCUGCAGAUCAGAGAAGAGGAAGAGCCAGUGACCCCACUGUCACCCCACUUUGCACUUGGACCUGCUUUCUUGUGAUGCACCAACAGUAGCAUGAUACCCAGGGUGCGCAGGUACAGCCAGUGCCAUUCAGGGCUGAUGUGAGAAAGCUUCCAGGAGCCUUGGCUGCAGACUGAACUUCCCAGAAUGGGGUAACCCCUGCCAGGUGACCUGGGAUGAAACCAAAGCUAUAAGGAAGUAGACACUGCCCAAACAGACCCAUUUUCCCUGAAAAUAGGAGACGCGCAACACCCAGCCAAAAAGUGCCCUGUCUGCCUGAGUGAGCCUGUGGGGGAAGUUCCCUCAUGAGAAGCUGCCUAUUGGGAUCUGAUGUUAACUAAUCCUUCUCAAGCUGUUCUGCUUCCUUGUUUCACCUUGAUAAAAUCAAUCUUUCUGCCACACCAAACUGAAUACUCAUUCUAUUUUAUUCAAGAAUCUUGAAUAAAACCACAAACAGUGAUGCAGGCCUGUAAUCCCAGCACUCUGGGAGACUGAG